CCCCCCACUCCCCUUUCUCAUGCUAUCCACCACUACUCUUGUACCUUCUUUGCUGCAAUGGCGGUUUCAGCUGUUUCUGUUUCCAGCAAGAGGCCAAUGUCAAUAUCAUUAUUGUCCUCCUGGAUGCUCUUCGCGGUGUUCUUGCACACUGCACAAGCCACGAGACUGCUGGAUUCUUCCAACUGGGACCCCAAGAUUCUGCUGCCUUCCCAGCUGGAUGAUGAAUCCGCUCCUGUUGAUGACCAAGAAGAAGAAGAAGCAGCUGGCACCCGAUGGGCGGUUCUUGUAGCUGGUUCAUCUGGCUUUGGCAAUUACAGGCACCAGGCGGAUGUGUGCCAUGCAUACCAGUUGCUUAAAAAGGAUGGCCUGAAAGAAGAGAACAUAGUGGUGUUUAUGCACGAUGACAUUGCUACUGACCCCUUGAACCCUAGACCUGGUGUCAUCAUUAACCAUCCAGAGGGACCUAAUGUCUAUGACGGAGUCCCCAAGGAUUACACCGGUGGGAACGUGACAACAGAGAACCUGUUUGCUGUACUUCUUGGGGACAAGACUAAACUCAAGGGUGGAAGUGGCAAAGUAAUUGAUAGCAAACCCAAUGACAGGAUAUUCUUCUUCUACUCUGAUCAUGGAGGCCCGGGAGUCCUUGGGAUGCCAAACUUGCCAUACCUGUAUGGGAAGGAUUUUGUUGACGUGUUGAAGAAGAAGCAUGCUGCUAAGGGUUACAAGGAGAUGGUUAUAUAUAUAGAAGCUUGCGAAAGUGGGAGCUUCGUUGAGGGUAUUAUGCCAACUGAUUUGAACGUUUAUGUGACAACUGCAUCCAAUGCAGAAGAGAGUAGUUGGGGAACUUAUUGCCCUGGGAUGGAUCCUGCUCCACCCCCAGAGUACAUCACUUGUCUUGGUGAUUUGUACAGCGUGUCUUGGAUGGAAGACAGCCAGACUCACAAUCUUAAAAAAGAAACCGUGCAGCAACAAUAUCAAUCGGUGAAGGAACGGACUUCUAAUUAUAACAACUAUGCGAUUGGUUCUCAUGUGAUGGAGUAUGGUGAUACCAAAAUCAAAGCUGACAAGCUCUCUCUCUUUCAAGGCUUCGAUCCUGCAUCCAUCAACUUCCCUCCAAACAACAGCAUCCUACCACCACAGACCCCUGUUGAAGUUGUUAACCAGAGAGAUGCAGAUCUUUUCUUCAUGUGGCAAAGGUGCGAGUUGGUUUUUGCUCUGUUUACAGUACAAGAGAUUGGAGCAUGAAGCAGAAGAAAAGGCACAAGCCCUGAAGGAGAUUAGAGACACAGUGAAUCACAGGAAUCAUAUAGAUGGCAGUGUGAAAUUGAUUGGUACUUUGCUGUAUGGACCUGGAAAAUCAUCCUCAGUUCUGGAAUCAGUGAGGGAACAUGCUGGUCUGCCUCUUGUUGAUGACUGGACAUGCUUAAAAUCAAUGGUUCGAGUGUUUGAAAGUCACUGUGGAUCAUUGACUCAGUACGGCAUGAAACACAUGAGGGCAUUCGCGAAUAUUUGCAACAGCGGUGUCUCUGAAGCAUCCAUGGAGGAGGCUUGUGUAGCAGCUUGUGGAGGAUAUGAGCCUCGCGAUUUACAUCCAUCAAAUAGAGGCUAUAGUGCUUGAUUCUGCAUACUGCCAACUUCUCUGUUCUUGGUGCACUAUGGAUCGGAAUGUGGAUUUCCAAAUCUGUGUGUAACUAUAAAUAGAUGUAUCAAUAAAAAUAGUUUCCCUAUGCAGCUUAUGCUUAUGUAUUUGUGGCUCGUCCUUUAUGGGUAACUAACGGAGCGGCCCCUGCAUUCAAAUAAUAAUGUAUAUAUGUUUUCCAUGA